UCGAACAGCCUGUAUCACCCGGAUUCGUGGCCCACGCAAUCCCACCAAACCUGAAAAUGAGCCGCGCUUCUAGAGAACUCCACGACCCACGGUAGCCUCCAGGCUCUGGCAAAUUAAUUCCCCGCCAACCUCCUCACGCUGAUCUUUCCCCUGUAAUCUGGAUGCUCUGUAUCCAGUAUUCCAAUUUCUCUAGCCCGCGGGUCACACACCACCAGCUCCAUUGGUCCAUCCCCCCGUCCACACACCCAGCACGGCAGCACCUCCAAAUCACCUCCACGUCCAGAUUGCAUCUCCAGCCCUGUCUCCUUGCAGUCUGUGGCUUGCUUCGAAAUUUGUUUGCGCCUGGUGAUUCCAGGCUCAGAGUAGUUGGACAUCCAUCUACGGCCAGCUGACCACAGGUGCCGCUGAUCACAGGUUGUGGUUGAAAACACUUGGCUUACAAAAUCAAG